rnacentral:rRNA from 1 species
ACCAGACUCCUACGGGAGGCAGCAGUGAGGAAUAUUGGUCAAUGGGCGGGAGCCUGAACCAGCCAAGUCGCGUGAGGGAAGACGGUCCUACGGAUUGUAAACCUCUUUUGCCGGGGAGCAACGGGGUCCUUGCGAGGGCCCGAUGAGAGUACCCGGAGAAAAAGCAUCGGCUAACUCCGUGCCAGCAGCCGCGGUAAUACGGAGGAUGCGAGCGUUAUCCGGAUUUAUUGGGUUUAAAGGGUGCGCAGGCGGGCUGUUAAGUCGGCGGUCAAAUGUCGGGGCUCAACCCCGGCCUGCCGUUGAAACUGGCGGCCUCGAGUGGGCGAGAAGUAUGCGGAAUGCGUGGUGUAGCAGUGAAAUGCGUAGAUAUCGAGAGGAACACUCGUGGCGAAGGCGGGUUCCUGAACAUUAACUGACGCUGAGGCACGAAGGCCAGGGGAGCGAAAGGGAUUAGAUACCCGGGUA